ACAGGCUGCGCCAUCUAGUCCAGGGGGCGUCGACUCAGUGCAGAGGGCGUUGACGCAGCAAAAGCCCGCCGCACAGUGUUUAUAAGGAAGUGGGUUUGGCGACACAAUGCCACUUGCCGAAACAAGCCAGACCUCACUCACGCUCGCUUGUCGAAGUUCGUGUCAGUGCAGACUUCGUGUUCGUGCCUUGCCUUCCUUGCCGAUUAUGGAGCAGAGACGCAAAUCAUCCGCCGUGUGGGACCAUUUUGAUGUCCCGGAGAAUAAGGUGAAAUGUCGAAUUUGCCGGGUCGAAUUGUCAUACACCAACAGAAGCACCUCCACCAUGCUGAGGCAUUAUCGGGCCAAGCAUGAGAAUGAAGUUCGCGAUACACCCAGUAUUACGCCAGGUUCCACGAAGCAGCUGUACUGGAAGGACCAACACACUUCUUUCCCAAACCUCUCCCACCUCGCAAAGGAGUUCCUUUGUACGCCAGCCUCAUCCGUCCCUUGUGAGCGUGUGUUCUCCACAGCAG